GGGGGUUCAAAAUACCAUGGCUAAGUAAAAUUUUACAAAUAUCUUUUCCAGUUUAUUUAAUACAUACAAACUACUUAUUGGAGUAAUAUAACUAUGUUAAGGAUUUAGAAUAGCUUGAAUUUUUUAAAUUCAAGGUCUAUAGUAGGGGGUUCAAUAUACCGCAGGGGGUCAAAAUACCAUGGCUAAGUAAAAUUUUACAAAAUAUCUUUUCCAGUAUAUUAAAUACAUACAAACUACUUAUUGGAGUAAUAUAACUAUGUUAAGGAGUUAGAAUAGCUUGAAUUUUUGAAAUUCAAGGUCUAUAGUAGGGGGUUCAAUAUACCGCAGGGGGGUCAAAAUACCAUGGCUAAGUAAAAUUUUCAAAAUAUCUUUUCCAGUUUAUUUAAUACAUACAAACUACUUAUUGAAGUAUUAUAACUAUGUUAAGGAGUUAGAAUAGCUUGAAUUUUUGAAAUUCAAGGUCUAUAGUAGGGGGUUCAAUAUACCGCAGGGGUCAAAAUACC
rnacentral:lncRNA from 1 species